UACGGGGGGGGCAAGCGUUGUUCGGAAUUACUGGGCGUAAAGGGCUCGUAGGUGGCCAACUAAGUCAGACGUGAAAUCCCUCGGCUUAACCGGGGAACUGCGUCUGAUACUGGAUGGCUUGAGUUCGGGAGAGGGAUGCGGAAUUCCAGGUGUAGCGGUGAAAUGCGUAGAUAUGACAUAGAACACCGAUAGCGUAGGCAGCUUGCUACACGAAUAUUGACACUGAGGCACGAAAGCGUGGGGAUCAAACAGG
rnacentral:rRNA from 1 species